rnacentral:lncRNA from 1 species
GGGGGGGGGGGGGGGGGGGGGGGGGGGGGGGGGGGGGGGGGGGGGGGGGGGGGGGGGGGGGGGGGGGGGGGGGGGGGGGGGGGGGGGGGGGGGGGGGGGGGGGGGGGGGGGGGGGCCUGCUCCCCGUCCUGCUCCCUAUCCCUGCUCCCCACCCUGCUCCCUAUCCCUGCUCCCCAUCCUGCUCCCUAUCCCUACUCCCCAUCCUGCUCCCCAUCCUGCUCCCCACCCUGCCCCCCAGCACCCCAGGCUCAGGUCAGUGCUCAGGGGGCUCCUGUGCCCAGGGCUAGGACGAGGCUGGGCUGGGGGCAGUGUCCUGCUCCCCCAGGAGACAGGGAAGGGCCAGGCUCGCUGGCUGUGGUGGGAGCCCUGCCAGUGAUAGCCUGAGGAGGUGACAGCCCCGGGCUGUGCUGAGGUGGUGGGUGGCAUUUCUGGGCAGUUUUGUGGUGCAGGUGCUCAGCAGCCAUCGAUCAGAGCAGCCCCGGAGCAAUCAAUAGGGGUGUGAUUAACGGGCUGUGCUCAUCCCUGCUGAUGGCUCCUGAGUGAGUGGCCUUGGCUGGGCCAGAGGUCACACUGCUCUGCCACGAUGGAUGGAGGGAUGGAUGGAUGCCUCUUGGAACUGCUGGACUGGAGCUGUCAGUGUUUCAUCCCAGUGGCUCCUGUGGGCUACCUGUCCUUCGCUCCCCAUUUCCCACCACCUUGGCUUGACGCAGUGGGCAGAGCCACACCACUGCAGCUUCCAUAUCCCCCUCCCUCGGAGCAGGCUGUGUCCCAGGAAAGUCCCCAUGUGCCCUGCAGUCACCCCUUUCUGCUCUCACAGUGCCUCAAGGGAGCCAGGGGCUGAGCAGCUCUGGGGCCUGCCAUCAUCCAGCACUCCAGUGCCACUGGAGCCUCUCCUCCUGCUCUGGGACCAGAGACAGGAGACAAGACCACGUUCACAUCAUCACUGAAACAUUCCUUCCUCAGCCUCUGAACUCACUUUCUCCUCAACUGCCCCAUCCACAAGACACACGAGAAUUUGACUUUGCCCUGGUUUGUGAUGACCAGCAGUCAAGGAGGAUCUUUGCCCAGGAAGAGAAGUGAGUGCUCAGAAAGCAGAAUCUGCAAAGCUUGGUGGGAAACGAGCCCUGAGGCUGCAGAGCUGAAGUACAGAGCAGGAGGGGAGGUGCUGUGCAGCAGAGAUGGGGGAUCCUCUGACCCCUCCAGGGAGUGUGCAGGCUGCUGAGCUGCUGCGUGAUGAAUGAGAAACCCAGGGAUUACAAUAAUUUUGUUAAAG